rnacentral:lncRNA from 1 species
AUACAGAUGCGGCGCCCCUCCCGGACCGGGCCCGCAGCGCCCGGCAGGGCACUCGGGCGGGAGGACGUCCAGGCCACGGCGCCAGGCCAUUUCCGAAGAGCUGGCGGGGCGGGUGCACCCGGGAGCGCGAAGCUGCCAGUCCCCGCCCGCAGCGGAAAACGGGCGAGCGCGCGGUGAGGUGGGGAAUUCGGAGCCCACUGCGGAGAGACCCGGCUCCGGGCUCCCGGUUCCCGGCUGGCUUUUGGGACUGGUGUGGAUGGAAUCCCAGCUGCAAGGCGGCGGCGUUUUGAGAGCCCAUGCAAAGCACGGUAGCAGGACCAGGAACCAGAAGAGGACCCACCCUCCUAGCCCUGCUGGGGUGCCGCCACGGACACAGGUUGCUCCAUGCCUUCCCGAAUGAGGAAGGUCCACAGCUUUGGGUUGGUCAGGGCCAAGGCAGGGGAUAAAAGACGUGGGAAGUUCAAUAAGCAGGAAGCAGUCAGCCUAAAGGAACACAUGGAAUGAGAGCAACUCCUACUCCAGAUAUCCUCAGAUGUCCACGCUCAGAUAUCCACAGUGGCUUCUUAACCUGCCCAAAGAAAGCCACUCACACAGUUUAAAACUAAGUCAGAUUUUUAUUUUUUUUUCCAUAGACCACAUCAUUUAAUAAUAAAAAAAAUAAAAAUAAAAAUUGAACAAAAGGAAAAGGUGGAUAUAAAGUGGAACCUGUGGGAAAGAGGCAAGGGCUGUAAGUACCCAGGGAGGUGGUAAGCAGG